rnacentral:rRNA from 1 species
UACGUAGGUGGCAAGCGUUGUCCGGAUUUACUGGGUGUAAAGGGCGUGUAGGCGGAGCUGCAAGUCAGAUGUGAAAUCCCGGGGCUCAACCCCGGAACUGCAUUUGAAACUGUAGCCCUUGAGUAUUGGAGAGGCAGGCGGAAUUCCUAGUGUAGCGGUGAAAUGCGUAGAUAUUAGGAGGAACACCAGUGGCGAAGGCGGCCUGCUGGACGACAACUGACGCUGAGGCGCGAAAGCGUGGGGAGCAAACAGG